UACAGAGGUCUCAAGCGUUGUUCGGAUUCAUUGGGCGUAAAGGGUGCGUAGGCGGGUCUUUAAGUCAGGGGUGAAAUCCUGGAGCUCAACUCCAGAACUGCCUUUGAUACUGAGGAUCUUGAGUUCGGGAGAGGUGAGUGGAACUGCGAGUGUAGAGGUGAAAUUCGUAGAUAUUCGCAAGAACACCAGUGGCGAAGGCGGCUCACUGGCCCGAUACUGACGCUGAGGAGCGAAAGCGUGGGGAGCGAACAGG
rnacentral:rRNA from 1 species